rnacentral:misc_RNA from 1 species
GAUGAAGAACGCAGCGAAAUGCGAUAAGUAAUGUGAAUUGCAGAAUUCAGUGAAUCAUCGAAUCUUUGAACGCACAUUGCGCCCGCCUGCAUUCUGGCGGGCAUGCCUGUUCGAGCGUCAUUUCAACCCUCGACUUCCCUUUGGGGAAAUCGGCGUUGGGGACCGGCUGUAUACCGCCGGCCCCGAAAUGAAGUGGCGGCCCGUCCGCGGCGACCUCUGCGUAGUAAUCCAACUCGCACCGGAACCCCGACGUGGCCACGCCGUAAAACCCCCGACUUCUGAACGUUGACCUCGGAUCAGGUAGGAAUACCCGCUGAACUUAAGCAUAUCAAUAAGCGGAGGA